AGUAGAGAUGGGGUUUCACCAUGUUGGCCAGGCUGGUCUCCAACUCCUGACCUCUAGUGAUCCGCCCACCUCGGCCUCCCAGAGUGCUGGGAUUACAGGCGUGAGCCACUCUGCCUGGCCUAAGGGAUGUUUCUUCGAUUGAAUUACUGUACCUUAGAGAUAAUAUUCUGAAUAUGUGCAGAAGAAGAAAACUGUUCAUCUACAUUUACUUAAGAAUAUAAACCAAGUUGCAAUUACAAGAAAUUCUGAAGUUCAGGGAAGCGGUUACUACAAAAGGCUGAACUUGAAGGGAGUAAAGGUCAGUCGCAGCGAAGAAACUCCCUUUGUUGCCUUCUUGUGAGAAGUAGCUUGGUAAUGAGAGAAAGCUGCCACCAUCUGGCCUGGAUUCAGCAAACACCCUUCUCCUCAGGCGCCUGCCAAUAAGGCAAAGCCCAGAGUGAACGCAUCUCGCCAGGAGGAAAAGCAGAAUGUGAUGGACUGAGGGCGGUGGAAGUGAAGGUUCUCAGGAAGACUCAAAUCUCUCCACCCCAGCCCUUGGUCUAUAAUCGAUGCAAUGCUGUUGACUCAAAAGGGGGCCAAGGCAAAUACCGCAGGGAUAAUUCGGGAUGUGAAGCUUCUGGACCACCUCCACAAGAGGGCCAGCAUCACCCCCUGCUCAGUCCUGCUUUACAUCUGUGUGCUGAUUUGCAUGGGUGACAAUAAAGCAAUGGACUGCUAUGGGUGGCUCUUGGAAAGUUUUCUUUCACUUUACAAAACUUCAGCAGUGCUUUGUGACAGUGGACACUGAAGUACAUGGACUGAUGUAUUAAAACAAAACCAAAAC